rnacentral:rRNA from 1 species
CCUACGGGGUGCAGCAGUGGGGAAUUUUGGACAAUGGGGGAAACCCUGAUCCAGCCAUCCCGCGUGUGCGAUGAAGGCCUUCGGGUUGUAAAGCACUUUUGGCAGGAAAGAAACGUCAUGGGCUAAUACCCCGUGAAACUGACGGUACCUGCAGAAUAAGCACCGGCUAACUACGUGCCAGCAGCCGCGGUAAUACGUAGGGUGCAAGCGUUAAUCGGAAUUACUGGGCGUAAAGCGUGCGCAGGCGGUUCGGAAAGAAAGAUGUGAAAUCCCAGAGCUUAACUUUGGAACUGCAUUUUUAACUACCGAGCUAGAGUGUGUCAGAGGGAGGUGGAAUUCCGCGUGUAGCAGUGAAAUGCGUAGAGAUCUGGAGGAAUACCGGUGGCGAAGGCGGCCCCCUGGACGAAGACUGACGCUCAGGUGCGAAAGCGUGGGGAGCAAACAGGAUUAGAUACCCCGGUAGUC